rnacentral:rRNA from 13 species
GGUUGCCCGAGUAGCAGCGGGCUCGUGGAAUCUGCUGUGAAUCUGCCGGGACCACCCGGUAAGCCUAAAUACUCAGUGUGACCGAUAGUGGAUAGUACCGUGAGGGAAUGGUGAAAAGUACCCCGGGAGGGGAGUGAAAGAGUUCCUGAAACCGGUCGCAUGCAAGCCGUCAGAGCCUGUGUGGUGAUGGCGUGCCUUUUGAAGAAUGAGCCUGCGAGUUAGUGAUGCGUGGCGAGGUUAACCCGUGGUGGGGGAGUCGUAGCGAAAGCGAGUCCGAUAAGGGCGUGAGUCGCGUGUUCUAGACCCGAAGCGGUGUGAUCUAUCCAUGGCCAGGAUGAAGCGUCGGUAAGACGUCGUGGAGGUCCGAACCCACUUCAGUUAAAAAUGGAGGGGAUGAGUUGUGGAUAGGGGUGAAAGGCCAAUCAAACACCGUGAUAGCUGGUUCUCCCCGAAAUGCAUUUAGGUGCAGCGUUGUGUGGUUCGUGUCGGAGGUAGAGCACUGGAUGGUCUAGGGGGCCUAUCAGCUUACCGAAACCAGCCAAACUCCGAAUGCCGGCACGUGGAGCGCAGCAGUGAGACGGCGGGGGAUAAGCUUCGUCGUCGAGAGGGAAACAGCCCAGAUCAUCAGCUAAGGCCCCUAAGUGAUAGCUAAGUGGAAAAGGAUGUGGAGUUGCGUAGACAACCAGGAGGUUGGCUUGGAAGCAGCCAUCCUUGAAAGAGUGCGUAAUAGCUCACUGGUCAAGUGAUUCCGCGCCGACAAUGUAGCGGGGCUCAAGUUAUCCGCCGAAGCUGUGGCAACUUUUUUUGAGUUGGGUAGGGGAGCGUCGUGUUCGUGGUGAAGCAGCCUGGUGAUGGGUUGUGGAGUGGAUGCGAGUGAGAAUGCAGGCAUGAGUAGCGAAUGACGGGUGGGAAACCCGUCCGCCGAAUAUCCAAGGGUUCCAGGGUCAAGUUAAUCUGCCCUGGGUGAGUCGGGACCUAAGGCGAGGCCGACAGGCGUAGUCGAUGGACGACCAGUUGAUAUUCUGGUACCGGUGUAGCACCGUCCGUGUCGAGGUGUGUGAUGCUAAGCAUGUGAGCUUGUCUUGGGAGUGUUUUUGAUGCUUCUGGGGUGGGUGAGUGUGUGAACCGAUCAUGUAGUAGGCAAGCUGCGGAGGGACGCAGUGAGGUAGCUCAUCCCCGGUGAUGGUUGUCCGGGGCUAAGUGUGUGGACUGUCUGGUAGGUAAAUCCGCUGGGCGUGAAGGUUGAGGCAUGAUGGGGAGCCCAUGGUUGUGGGUGAGUGAGUGAUCCUGUACUGUCGAGAAAAGCUUCGUGAGCGAGGUGGCGGGUCCGCCCGUACCCUAAACCGACACUGGUGGAUUGGUAGAGUAUACCGAGGCGAUCGAGUGAAUCGUGGUGAAGGAACUCGGCAAAAUGCCCCCGUAACUUUGGGAUAAGGGGGACCUGAGCUGUCGUGCACCCGUGCGGUGUGGUGGCGGUGAGGGGCGCAGAGUCCAGGGGGAAACGACUGUUUACCAAAAACACAGGUCCGUGCGAAGUCGUAAGACGAUGUAUACGGACUGACUCCUGCCCGGUGCUGGAAGGUUAAGGGGGGGAGUUAGCUUCGGCGAAGCUCUGAACUGAAGCCCCAGUAAACGGCGGCCGUAACUAUAACGGUCCUAAGGCAGCG